GUGAAUAUUAGGGAAGAAAGAGUUUAUCUGUAAAGAAGGAGAAAUUUAUGUCAAUAUACUUUGCUGGCUAUUCAAAGACUGGAGGAAAGCAUAUUAAUGUGAUCCUGAGGAAGAUUCUGAACAGUUAGGAACAGGUUUUCUUCUCCUUGUACUUCCAACAUGUGGCCCCACAUUCCUGAAUUUUCAUGUGAUGCUGUCGAGGGGAGGAGCCAAGAUGGUGGACAGGCAGCAAAGGCUGUAAAGAGCUCCUUCAAAAAUAUGAGCUUGCAUGUCUAUCAGGCAACUUGAAUGGAUGGAGAUGAUAUGUCAGACAGAUUUUGAACUAGCCCACAGUCUUGACAAGUGUCACCAAAGGCAAACAAAUACAAUGAAGACAACAUCUGAGGGAUUUGUUUCUGGAGCUUAUGUGUGGAAAAAGAAAAAAGUGGAAAAUAGAUUAUUUAUAGAUAGGGAAGUUUGCUUUAUGAAAUAACUGCAAAAACAUCUCUCUAAAUAUGGCACUGAACACAGAGAAUACUUGCAAAAUAAAAAAAUGUAAAACUGAUAGAACAGAGGUCAGAUUUAUUAGCUUAUGGUCUCACUAUAUGACUUUGCCUAGAUUUUUUUUAAGGAUUGCAGAAUGUUUCUGAUUUGCCUCCAUCUUUAAUAUUCUAACAGGUCCAACCAAAAUGACUGGUUCACCUAGCACUCUAAAUCAUACUGUAGUUUGUUUCAAUUAUUAUGCUACUUCUGUAGCCAGCCAUUGUGAUUUGUGUGACUUGGUGUAUUAUACAGAUCUGCCACUGGAGGUGAGAUCUACCGUAUUUCCCUGAAAGUAAGACCUAGUCUUAUAUUACUUUUGCCUCCAAAAGAGGGAUUAGACUUAAUUUUGGGGGUGUCUUAUAUUUUUUGUGACACCUGCCUCGCCUCAUGACAACAGCCCUAUCCAGGAGCCCAUGUGGCUGCCGACCCACUUCUGCGGCCACUUGUGGCAGGAGACUGUGCAGCACAUCAUGCCACUACUGCUACAACAAGACAAAGCAGGUGGGGGAAGGGGUGGAGCUUCUCCACGUGCCCCGCACCCACUUACCGGUACUUCAGCCCUCCCCCAGCCAGGCCAUUUCUUGACUGGCAACCUUUCAUUCCCCUCCUGAGCCGGACUGCCAUGCUAUGGCGAAUGGGAUGGGUAGGGUUGGCUUGGUCUCCCUUCACUGUUUUGGAGCCAGGUGGGAGUGACAGCAAACAGCUCCACUGCCACUAUGCACCUCUGGAAGGGCUUUCUUUAAGCUUCACCCCGGAGAUCACCUGCUCGGGCACAGCCACUGCCUCCUUGUCCUCUGCCAACUCUCCUGUGGCUUGCAUCAUGACCAGGCAGCACAAGCCUCCCCUGCUGCCUGCCUCCACCUUUGUCACCUGUCUCGUAGAGAAUAGAGAACACAGUGGCUCUGUGCAGGGAUGCAGAGCAGAGAACAGCACUUGCUUGUGGCCUGCAUUGUCUCGUGUCUCCCUUCUCCCUUCUGGAAACUGCAGUCCCAUUUCCUGCCACUUCUCCUCCCAGCACAGCUCCUCCCCCUUCCCGAAAGCAUUUCUUUGCUAACCUGUUUUCCAGUUCUGGCGCAUUUUU